AAAGAGAAUACACAAAAAUACACAUUAGACCUAGACUAGACUCUAAGACCUAAGGGAAAAGGUUGAUCCGCCGCAGAGACAUAGGAGACCCCCCCCCCCCCCCAGGUUGUUCUUCUUCAGCAAAAGAACUCCAUCAUUAGCCACUGAGCAGAGAAUGCCCAACCCCUGGACAAAACAAAAAAAAUUGGCCGUAAACCCCAACUUCAAAAACAGAAAUCGACCUUCCUCAAUUCCCAAUUUCCAAGAGCCUCUCACGCAUACACAUCCCUGAAACCUAGUAAAAAUAGGAGUUCUUUGCACCAAACAACAGCUCCAAAUGGCCCAGCAGUGAGGUUUAACGGAGGUCAUUUUCGAAUGGCCGUUGAGGUAUCGAGUCGCCGGUUCUGGUCGAGUCUUCCGGUGUUGUUGUGGCUGUUGUUCAAGUUUGAUAGCGAUUUGUUUUCAAUAUUUGUACGCGGUUGGAAUUUCUUUCAAGUAAUUAUAUAUAGAUCCAAUCCUUAAGGUUCGUCUCCAUUUUGUUUUUAUUAUUUUAUUUAAUAGCUUGAAAUCACUGUAUUUGUUGUUAUGUUGCCUUGUUAGUUUUGUUUGGUUAUAUUUUGAAACUGAUUUUUAUCAAUUUUCCAUUUUGUUAAAGAGAAAAGAAUGCUUGAACCUUUCUAGUCAUAUCGAGUCAGCUUUUUAGUUCUAGUGUUACCUUGUGCUUAUGAAAUUUUGAUAUUUUUUGAUGAUGGAAGAAAACUGAUGAAAGUUUGUUUGUUCAUUCUUGUUGCGUUAGUUUCUUUGUCAUUUACUGUUGUCUUCAUUCUUUUUUUUAGUUUGUUGAUUGUUUUGUUUUCCCCUUUAUAAUUAGCCUUUCAUAUAGUUAAAUAUGAUUUAAAUCAUUAAAGGAUGUCGUUGAAUCUUAUAAAUGAGUUGUUACGGUCAUUUGAAUAAUGAGCAGUGACCUCUUUUUACUUAAUUGCUAUACUAUCCUACUAAUGAAUAAAUCAAUAAUUUGGCCUAUACUUUGGACGUUAUUAAUAAUAAAUUAUCAUAGCUACGGGUACGGUUCCCGUGACGUAGUUGUGAUACGUAAUCUCAUUCCGGGUGUGCAUUUCAUGUGACCCGAUUCUAAUUUCCAACAAGGUUAAAUAGAACAUGCCGUGAACCGUGAGUGCAUUUCAUGUAGCGUGGCUUACGAUGUGUUUUAAAUAACCUUUGAAUUUUCCUGAAAUACUAGGUUAGAAAGUUAAAAAAUGCACAUAGGUUUUAAAUGUGUAAUUACAUCAGAUAAUUAUGCCAAUAAUAAUAGUUGAGUGACCGUGCUAAAACUACAGAACUCGGGAAUGCCUAAAACCUUCUCCCGGUUUAAUAGAAUUUCUUACCCGGAUUUCUGUGUUCACGGACUGUAAAACAGAGUCAAUUUUUCCUCGAUUCGGGAUUUAAACCGGUGACUUGACAUCAUAAAUUAUUCCAAGUAACGACUUUGAACAAUAAAUAAAAAAUCCUGUUUCGAUUGUCACUUUAAGUUGGAAAAAACUCUCUUAUACCCUUUCGGGGGUAGGAAAAAGGAAGUGUGACAGCUCUGGCAACUCUGCGAGGGAAAAGAACCCAGAAUCUCUGGUAAGCCACUCGGGUAAGCCAGGUCUAGAACAAAUAAAUCCAGGUUUUUAAAUCUAUAAUAACAUAGCCUCAUGUCGGAUCCCUAGUAAGAACGUUUGUUUGCAUCACGUGCAUUUGACGUUAGGGACUCAACACAGGGGUUGGGUCCGUCUAGGACAUGUAUAUCCAAAAAUAACAGACCAUCUUGAUGCAUCCUAUGUGCUACAUGUUGCAAUCUUCAAGGGUAAAAGGGUCAUUUGGCGGACCAAUGAUAGUUAAGGGCAAAUGAAAAAAAAGAAAAAAUGAUAAAGGAAGGUGAAGUGUGAAAAUAAGGCAAGUAGGGCCCAAUUUAUGUUUUCUUUCACAUUUUUGUUAAGAAAAAGAAAAAAAUGAUCAUUUUCCAAAAAAAAAAUCAAAAAAAGGGAAAGAAAAUCCAAAAAGACUUUACACGUUUCAUUAUUUUUCAAAAAAAGACAAAAAAUAUAUUUUCUCUAAGUUAUUUGUUAAGUUUAUUUCCCGCCCGUAUCCAAUCUGUCCGAAUUACGCAUACCCGAUUCUCAUCUUUCGGGGCAUGAUACGUAGGCGACCCACAUAGGGUCCGAUCUUCCUAGUAAAUCUUAGGUUCUUGACUUUGCGGGAUCUUAGCCAAAUUUUUCAUUUUUAGCCACCUUUUGGCCAAAUAAGUCAUUUUGCAAAACUAGCCUCAAUCAUAUCUUGCAUGUGUCCAACAGAAAGGGUUAUUGUCUCAAAUAGCAUUUUAGGCCUUUAACUUUAUUUGGUCUUAAUUUUUUCAUACAGGUGUGGAUUUACUUAUCGAAUUUUGGGCAUGACAAACGCCUUAGGACCAUCCAGUCAAGAUUGCUCAUGUAGGAGUUGCUUAAGGAGAUAUAUUUAUUUUUUAUUAUUUUUUUAUGUUUUGAGUAUGUUCUUCAUUUUAUUUCGUCUUUUACUUUCUAGUUUUGUACAGUAAUGUCGAGUCUUUUGUUAUUUUACUUCCUACUUUAUAUUUGAAAAAGUGUGUUGUAACUCA
rnacentral:lncRNA from 1 species